rnacentral:ncRNA from 3 species
CUAAUCGAACCAUCUAGU